AGUCGAACGAGCGAGAGAGAGCUUGCUUUCUUGAGCGAGUGGCGAACGGGUGAGUAACGCGUGAGGAACCUGCCUCAAAGAGGGGGACAACAGUUGGAAACGACUGCUAAUACCGCAUAAGCCCACGACCCGGCAUCGGGUAGAGGGAAAAGGAGCAAUCCGCUUUGAGAUGGCCUCGCGUCCGAUUAGCUAGUUGGUGAGGUAAUGGCCCACCAAGGCGACGAUCGGUAGCCGGACUGAGAGGUUGAACGGCCACAUUGGGACUGAGACACGGCCCAGACUCCUACGGGAGGCAGCAGUGGGGAAUAUUGCACAAUGGGGGAAACCCUGAUGCAGCGACGCCGCGUGGAGGAAGAAGGUCUUCGGAUUGUAAACUCCUGUUGUUGAGGAAGAUAAUGACGGUACUCAACAAGGAAGUGACGGCUAACUACGUGCCAGCAGCCGCGGUAAAACGUAGGUCACAAGCGUUGUCCGGAAUUACUGGGUGUAAAGGGAGCGCAGGCGGGAAGACAAGUUGGAAGUGAAAUCCAUGGGCUCAACCCAUGAACUGCUUUCAAAACUGUUUUUCUUGAGUAGUGCAGAGGUAGGCGGAAUUCCCGGUGUAGCGGUGGAAUGCGUAGAUAUCGGGAGGAACACCAGUGGCGAAGGCGGCCUACUGGGCACCAACUGACGCUGAGGCUCGAAAGUGUGGGUAGCAAACAGGAUUAGAUACCCUGGUAGUCCACACUGUAAACGAUGAUUACUAGGUGUUGGAGGAUUGACCCCUUCAGUGCCGCAGUUAACACAAUAAGUAAUCCACCUGGGGAGUACGACCGCAAGGUUGAAACUCAAAGGAAUUGACGGGGGCCCGCACAAGCAGUGG
rnacentral:rRNA from 1 species